rnacentral:rRNA from 1 species
AACGAACGCUGGCGGCAGGCCUAAUACAUGCAAGUCGAACGCUCAGCAAUGGAGAGUGGCAGACGGGUGAGUAACGCGUGGGAACCUUCCCAGUGGUACGGAAUAGCUCAGGGAAACUUGAGGUAAUACCGUAUACGCCCUUCGGGGGAAAGAUUUAUCGCCAUUGGAUGGGCCCGCGUCGGAUUAGCUAGUUGGUGGGGUAAUGGCCCACCAAGGCGACGAUCCGUAGCUGGUCUGAGAGGAUGAUCAGCCACACUGGGACUGAGACACGGCCCAGACUCCUACGGGAGGCAGCAGUAGGGAAUAUUGGACAAUGGGCGAAAGCCUGAUCCAGCCAUGCCGCGUGAGUGACGAAGGCCUUCGGGUUGUAAAGCUCCUUUGGCGGGGACGAUAAUGACGGUACCCGCAGAAUAAGCUCCGGCUAACUUCGUGCCAGCCGCCGCGGUAA